rnacentral:rRNA from 1 species
GAGUCAUUGGGACUUGCGAUAAACCUAAAGGCGCAAUGAAAGUGAAGGUCCGCCUCGCGCGGACCGAGGGAGGAUGGGUAGGCCCGAGAGCCCGCCCCGCACUCCCGGGGCGUCUCGUCCUCAUCGCGAGGAGAGGCGCACCCAGAGCGUACACGCUGGGACCCGAAAGAUGGUGAACUAUGCCUGGUCAGGACGAAGUCAGGGGAAACCCUGAUGGAGGUCCGUAGCGAUUCUGACGUGCAAAUCGAUCGUCGGAACUGGGUAUAGGGGCGAAAGACUAAUCGAACCUUCUAGUAGCUGGUUCCCUCCGAAGUUUCCCUCAGGAUAGCUGGCGCUCGCCUUGCGAGUCUCAUUCGGUAAAGCGAAUGAUUAGAGGCAUUGGGGUCGAAACGGCCUCAACCUAUUCUCAAACUUUAAAUGGGUGAGAUCUCCGGCUUGCUUGAAGCAUGAAGCCGCGAGAGAUCGGAUCACAGAGUGCCAAGUGGGCCACUUUUGGUAAGCAGAACUGGCGCUGUGGGAUGAACCAAACGCAGAGUUAAAGCGCCAAAAUCGACGCUUAUGGGAUACCAUGAAAGGCGUUGGUAACUUAAGACAGCAGGACGGUGG